rnacentral:sRNA from 1 species
CUAUUAAAGCAUUAGAAUUUGAAAAUAAUUCGUUAAUAGUAUACUUACCAUUGUUUGUUUUUAUUAGCUUUAGCUUCUUUCUAAGUGUUAUAAAUAAGAUUUGUAAGUUUUAUGUCAAUCCACAUAUUUUUGAUAUGUGUUUAUUUUGUUUAUAUAUUUAGGAUAUUGUUAAAUGACUAAAAAAACUGGCCAAGUUAAAUGGUUCAAUGAAAGUAAAGGUUUUGGAUUUAUUACUCCUGCUGAUGGAAGUAAAGACGUAUUUGUUCACUUUUCUGCAAUUGUUAAUGAUGGUUUCAAAACUUUAGCAGAAGGUCAAAAUGUUGAAUUUUCAAUUCAAGACAGUGCUCGCGGACCAGCUGCUGCGGACGUAAAAGUAAUCUAAUUAAUCGAUUACACCGAAUAUUUAAGAACCCUAUUUAUAAUAGGGUUU